GUUUUUAUUGUUGCACCCUAAAAUUCAAUUGUAUGCUAAGUAAAUAUGCACGAAAAGAUCACGUGGGAUUUGACAACAUUUUCAAAAAUAUUUGCAACACGAAAUCUAGCAAUUCACCUGGGUGUAAACAAAUUAAAUAGUGGAUGUGGGUGGGUUUAUACACAUGGUCGCGGGUGUAAUUGUAAAUGGCAUUCUUAUUGGUUUAUGGGGCAAUAAUAAUAAGUGUAAAUACUUAAGUGAUAAAGUAAAUAUUACAGUUAAAUAUGAGUAGUUCAAAGCCAAGAUGUCGAUGAGAUGCAGCACAUGCAGUCUUAAUAACGCAAUGAGACGAGAACUUCUUCGGUAUCACCAGCUGUACUAUCAGACGGAUUUUUCGAAACAUAAAAGUUGCUUCUUCGGAGCAGAUUCACCAUAUAAAAAACUUGCACCAUGUUAAAAAGUUUUAAAUAAAUUUUGGACGAUAGCCAUCGAAGGAUAAUUGUCAUCGUAUACUAUAUUUCACAUGGCGAUUUCCUUCCCUAAAACAAAAUUCGAAGAAACGAUUUUUCUACAAGUCGUGGACAAGGACUUUCGAAACAAAGCUAUGGGUCCGAUUUUGCUUUUGAGAGUAGUCGCCUACGAGAAUAUACUGUAUGAAAGUGAAGCUUAUACUCGAAUCACAAUCGUCCAUUAGGAAUAUGUUAGUUACAGUUGACUUCAUUUUAAAUGGAACGUAAUCAAUAUCCUCUCGACCUUAAGUGACUAAAUAAAAAAGCGGAAAGAGUAGACUAUAUAAAAAUAAAGAUUUUAAGGACGGAUUUUUCGCGGCAUGAUGACAUUGGUUAUUUUAAAAUUCAUGUUCCAAAGUUCUUCUAGUCUUUCCUUAAUUUUAUAAGGUUAUGGCUCUAGUUAUGUUGACCUUCGUCACAGGUUACCAGUCGACCUGUUGUAUUGCAAGCAACAUGUUAUUUAACGAUAAUAUCUAUUAUACCCAAACCAUAGUUUAUCGGUCUCAUUCGUUGGUCAAUUUCUAAUCGUUUACCCAAAGGACCUCAUUCUGAAAAUUCGUCAGAAAUUAAAAAAAAUAAUCAUGGAAAUGUUGGGUAGCGAUCAAUCGACGUCUCUGAGGAAGUGUUUUUAUUUUGCCGGCUCAUAUUUUUUUUAUUUUUCCAAAUUUUUAUUUAAUUGUUGUUCUGAUUUAUAAUACCUAUCUCCAUAGUUCGGUAUAAAUGUAUGAAUGUCUUCGAAGGUGAUGCUUAUACUACGACUUGUAUGUACAUAUGUAUGUAUGUAUUGAAUGUUGAUGUAAAUAGUAUAGUAUAUAAUACAGCAAAAGGUAGCAGGAACAGACAUCGAUAUACAUAAACGAGUAUAUAAACGAGUAUGUGUAUGCAGGAGUUGUAAAUUACAUAUAGUACACAUUAGUUUUGUUUUA